GAUGCUCGGACAUCUUUAGUACCAGAUUCCAGGGAUCCUCAGAAAGUGAAGGAGUUUCUCCAGGAAAAAUAUGAGAAGAAGAGAUGGUAUGUCCCCCCAGACCAAGUCAAGGGGCCCACUUAUACCAAAGGCAGUGCCUCCACCCCUGUGCAGGGCUCCAUCCCAGAAGGGAAGCCCCUUCGGACACUUCUGGGUGAUCCUGCACCGUCUCUCUCAGUUGCUGCCUCCACCUCGAGCCAGCCCGUCAGUCAGUCUCACGCUCGGACAUCCCAGGCCCGGAGCACUCAGCCACCUCCCCACUCCUCUGUCAAAAAAGCCAGUACUGACCUGCUGGCUGACAUCGGUGGAGACCCCUUUGCCGCACCCCAGAUGGCACCAGCUUUUGCUGCAUUCCCUGCCUUUGGGGGCCAGGCACCUUCCCACGGAGGCUUUGCCAACUUUGAUGCCUUUAGCAGUGGCCCCAGCUCUUCUGUGUUUGGAAGCCUCCCUCCAGCUGGUCAAGCCACGUUCCAGGCCCAGCCAACUCCUGCAGGGAGCAGCCAGGGGACUCCAUUUGGUGCCGCUCCCCUGGUACCCGCCAGUCAGCCAAACAGCCUCGCAGACGUGAGCAGCUUCCUGGGACCCGGGGUGCCUGCUGCAGGUGUUCCUAGCAGCCUCUUCGGGAUGGCUGGCCAGGUCCCCCCGCUCCAGUCUGUCACGACGGGCGGCAGCAGCAGCACAGGGCUGGCCUUUGGAGCCUUCACCAACCCUUUCGCAGCUCCCUCCGCCCAGCCCCCGCUGCCUUCCACCAACCCCCAGCCAGCUGGGAUCUCCACCAACCCCUUCAUGACUGGACCCUCAUCAAGCCCAUUCGCCUCCAAGCCUCCAACCACUAACCCCUUCUUGUAGCACUGUGUUUUUGGGGGGCCUCUUCCCUGCCUUCUGGGGCCCCUCUGCUCCCUAGAGCUCUGGUGACCACUUGCCUGUGGGCAUUUCUAUGGGCCUUGGGGAUGGUGGAGGUGCUAAUGCUUUGCUUGGGGCCUACAGGUGAAAGGUGGCUGCCCUCAGAUUCCACAAAGCCUCUGCUCCCCUCCCUCGUCCCACCCCCACCCAGGCAGGAAGCCCAGGAGGAGUGCGGGCAGGGCCUGACCUGGAGGAGUGAUGGUUGAGGGGGAGGGAUUUUUUUCAAAUGAUCAGUUCCCUGUGGAACAGCUCUUCCCUGGGCCUAGCUCGCCAGCGCUGUGCUCCUCGUGGACGGGAGCACAGUGGGGAAGGUAGGGGAAAGAUGAGGCACAGUGUUGACGGGGCAGUGACCAGACAGUCCUGAGACCCAGAAGGCCCAGGUGGCCCAAGUGCUCUUGGUGGCCCAGCUUGGCCAGCACACACUUCCCUCCUGUGGCAACCCCUGCUGAAGGGGUCCCCCAUUGUUUUGCUUCCCCAGCGCCCAGGAUGAGCGGUUUACCAUCAAGCUCACCCGGGUCCGGCUCCUGUCAAGCACUUUAGUUAGCCGUUGGUGUCAUGUUUGGAUACCAGUGUUUUAUAUUUAUACAUAGAGAGGAUUUUCUAAUAUAGCCUAUUAUAUAUAAAUAGAUCUAUCUAUAUGCACAUACAUACAUAUAUACACACACCCAGCCGAUCUCCCGCUCCCAGACUGCUCUUGUAUGUGGGGAAUGGGAUGAAUCCCCAUCUGUGCCUCGACCAUCAAAGCCGGAGCUCCAGGGCUGGAGGGGGGCAGCCAUGUGUCCUGACCCCCACCAUCCCCAGAGCCUGGGUUUUCCAGGGAAAGGCUUUGUGCAAUUGCCUGGUCUUUUUUUUUUUUUUUUUUUUCUCCAUGUGCCUCCCUGUCCCCAAAUCUCUGCACCAAAGCUCAUUGCAGGCAA
rnacentral:sRNA from 1 species